rnacentral:rRNA from 1 species
AUAAAACUAAGUAUUAUCAUAUAAAAAAGUAAUUUUAAAUUAUAAUAUUUAAAUUAUAGAAAAUAAAUAAAUAUAUAUUAAUUAAAAAAAGAAAAACAUUUUAUUUUAACUUAAAAAUGAAUUAAAAGUACAGGCGAUGGAAAUUAAUUCUAAUUACACAAUAAAAUUAUUGGUUUUACAUAAAAAAUAAAUUACUUAUUUUUACAAAAAGUACUGUGAAGGAAUAGUAAAAUAAUACUUUUUAACCACGAAAACCGUUUACCUUUUGUAUAAUGGAUUUACAAGAAUUAACAAUAGCUAGUUUUAAGACCAUAAAAAUUUAUUAAAGUUAUUGUAACCCGAAACCGUAUGAUCUAAUUAUGAUCAUAUUUAUGAUACAAUUAAUGAAUGUAGAAACAUUCUUAAAAGAAUUAUAAUUAGCAGCGAAAAACUAAACGAAUACGGUUAUAGCUGGUUUUCUACGAAAAUUAUAUAAGUAAAAGAUAUCUCAGACUUUAAGAUAAAAUUCUUAAAGUCAAAAAGGAAUACAACCUUAAUCAAAAAUUAACAUGCUUCAAUAAAAUAAAUAAAGUUUUCAAACGUUUAAACAUCAUAAAAAUAGGACUAGAAACAACCACUUUUUAAAUAAAACGUAAUAGUAAAUAAAAUAAAUAUAAAUGAAAACACAAUAAAGCCCUUUAUAAUGAUAAUUUUGAUAAAAAGUAGUAGAAUUAUUUUUAAUAAUAUAGUAAUAAAAAAAUAAAAUAAUGUAAAUAUAAUUAAAAAAUCAUUAUUCUCAAAGAUUCUUAUUUUAAUAAAUGAAUAAGGUUAUACAGCAUCUAAUCUUAGAAAGAUUAUAAUGAAAUUAAAAACAAGAAAAAAUCACUUAUAAAACUGUAUUUAUCUAACUCAAGAGAGAAUUAAAAAUAAAUUCUAUUUUGUUUAAGGAACUCGGCAAAAUUUAUAUCGACUGUUUACCAAAAACAUAGCCCUUUAAAAAAUAAAAGGUGCCACCUGCCCAAUGAUUAUUAACUAAAGAAACUAAUAUUUUCUAAAAAUAAUUUAAAGGACGCGGUAUCCUGACCGUGAUAAUGUAGCAUAAUCACUCGCCAUUUAAUUGAUGGAUAGUAUGAAUGGUUUAACGAAUAUAACACUGUCUCCGACAAAAUAUUUAUAAAAUUGGAAUAAUAGUAAAGAUACUAUUUAAAACUAUAAGACGAAAAGACCCUAUAGAGCUUAACUAUAAACUUUUAUUAUCUUUUUAAGUUUACUUAAAUUCACUAAAAGUUUGGUAGUUUAGUUGGGGCGACUGUCUUUUAAAAUAAACAAAGACAAGCAAUAUUAAUUAAAAAAAAAUUUACUGUAUAAGUAAUAUAUUUAACAGUUACUACGGUAGGCAAUAAUGACCCGUUUUUAUAAAGAAACAUAAAAAACGAUCAAUAAAUAAAAGCUACCUUAGGGAUAACAGGAUAAUUUCGUUUUAGAGUUCUUAUCGAAGACGAAGUUUGUCACCUCUAUGUUGAAUUAAGAUAUCCUAGUAAUGCAGAAGUUACUAAAGGUAGGUCUGUUCGACCUUUAAAAUCUUACAUGAUUUGAGUUCAUUCCGUUGCAAGACAGGAAGGUUUCUAUCUAUAGUUUAAAACACAAUAAAAAUCUCUCAGUACGAAAGGAAAAGAGAAAUUGUUUAGUAAAAAAUUAAAAAAAUAUU